CUCACAUUUAGAACAGCAAGAAAGCACCACUCCCAAUAUUUACACAUGCUGUUUUUUCAUCUCUGGAAUCUUUUCACAGCUUACAGUUUCAUGGAGGGUUUCAUGAAGAUUUAGCUUUUUCUUUGAACCUGCUUAGCCAGUAAAACAGAUAUUUUUUCCCCAAAGCACAAAUUAAAGAACCUGAUUUGUUCCCACCCAAAUUCAGAAGCUUAAGAAAAGCUCCCCCAUUCCCUAAAGUUUUCAUCUCUGGACUGUCAGCUUCAGAAUAUAGAUUUCAAAUGGCCAUGAGUCAAAAGUGGUGGAGGUAUGAGGAGGCAGAUUCAGAUGAAUUUGAGUGAUUAAAAUGAAGUCAGGCCAGAAAUCCACCUGAGAAUAAUUUGCUAAUCAUUAGUUCUGAGUUUCAUCUUCUGGAAUUGUUGCUUCUUAUAUUGGGUCAGGGAGCGGGUAUUGUUUAGAGGAAAAAAGGAGAAAGAGAAAACAGAAGAGAAAACUUCACCUUUCCAUGGAAAUAUCAGCAGAUAAUCUAUAGACUCUUGUGUCUCUGCUUGUUUUUUCAGUACAGUGUUUUUUAAUAGACCAAAAGAGAAUCUUUAUGAGGUAAUAUGUAUGUGAAUAAUGUUUAUAGAAGGGGUAUUACAUGUUAGUCAUUAUGAACAAUUGUGUAAAUAAACCUUAGACAUG
rnacentral:lncRNA from 1 species